UACGUAGGGGGCAAGCGUUGUCCGGAUUUAUUGGGCGUAAAGAGCGUGUAGGCGGUUAGGUAGGUCCGUUGUGAAAACUCGAGGCUCAACCUCGAGACGCCGAUGGAAACCAUCUGACUAGAGUCCGGAAGAGGAGAGCGGAAUUCCUGGUGUAGCGGUGAAAUGCGCAGAUAUCAGGAAGAACACCCGUGGCUAAGGCGGCUCUCUAGUACGUGACUGACGCUGAGACGCGAAAGCGUGGGGAGCGAACAGG
rnacentral:rRNA from 1 species